rnacentral:rRNA from 1 species
UGGCGGACGGGUGAGUAAUGUCUGGGAAACUGCCUGAUGGAGGGGGAUAACUACUGGAAACGGUAGCUAAUACCGCAUAACGUCGCAAGACCAAAGAGGGGGACCCUCGGGCCUCUUGCCAUCGGAUGUGCCCAGAUGGGAUUAGCUUGUUGGUGGGGUAACGGCUCACCAAGGCGACGAUCCCUAGCUGGUCUGAGAGGAUGACCAGCCACACUGGAACUGAGACACGGUCCAGACUCCUAACGGGAGGCAGCAUG